ACGAACAUAUCGCGUUGAAACAUCGUUUCUCUUACGAUUACUGAAGUUAAGCAACGUCGAGCCUGAUCAGUAAUUAGAUGAGUGACCUCAUGAGAAUAGCAGGUGCUGUAAG